rnacentral:rRNA from 1 species
AUUGAACGCUGGCGGAAUGCUUUACACAUGCAAGUCGAGCGGCAGCGCGGGGCAACCUGGCGGCGAGCGGCGAACGGGUGAGUAAUACAUCGGAACGUGCCCAGACGUGGGGGAUAACUACUCGAAAGAGUGGCUAAUACCGCAUACGAUCUAAGGAUGAAAGCGGGGGAUCGCAAGACCUCGCGCGUUUGGAGCGGCCGAUGGCAGAUUAGGUAGUUGGUGGGGUAAAGGCUUACCAAGCCCGCGAUCUGUAGCUGGUCUGAGAGGAUGAUCAGCCACACUGGGACUGAGACACGGCCCAGACUCCUACGGGAGGCAGCAGUGGGGGAAUUUUGGACAAUGGGCGAAAGCCUGAUCCAGCCAUUCCGCGUGCAGGAUGAAGGCCCUCGGGGUUGUAAAGCUCUUUCGGUGGGGAAGAAAUUGCUUCGGUUAAUACCCGGAGUAGAUGACGGUACCCGCAUAAGAAGCACCGGCUAACUACGUGCCAGCAGCCGCGGUAAU